CAGCCAACAUCUGGCAGAGCAUAUGCUGGGCUUCUAGGUAGUAAGACUUACAGGACCCAGCAAAGUGGUUCUAGAACACUCCAAAUCUCCCCUGAAAGCUCUCUCGGAUCCCUAAUUUGUCCCACAACCCCUUACUUAACCUCUUCUCUCUUAUCCCUCACACUUAAGUGUACACAGUUUCCAAACUACUGAAUAGGGGAAUAAAACAGAAAACCGCCUGUUAGAAUGAAUGAUAAUGAAAGACCAUGAUGACACUGGAAAACAAAGUGUCUUAGAACAGCAUUCUUGGUACCUAAUGGGUGACCCAUAAGCACUGCUCAGUAUGGAGCAGGCCCUCCACGGCACACAGACAAGGCAAAUGGCUGGACCAGCCUGUGUUAAAUUCCUUGUUUCAACAUCCGGCACUCUCCUUUUAAGAAAUAUGAAUGAAAAGAGGAAUAAUGGUUCACAUCAUGACAGAUGAAGUGGCUGACCUGCUUUAUCUUUCUUUCCCCUUUGCUCCCUAUCCCAUUCACUGCCACAAUGAGCCAACAUUAUUGAUAGAAAAGGCAGUAUGAAGUAUAUCGCACAUAUUGAGAUCAGGAAGAGCAC